CAAUUGGAAACAGUUGCUAAGACUGGAUAGGAAAUUAAAAGGCAUCUUUUAAUUUUUAAAAGACCUUUUUCGGAAGGUAUGCUUAAAGAGGGGCUUGCGCCACAUUAGUUAGUUGGUAAGGUAAAGGCUUACCAAGACGAUGAUGUGUAGCUGGACUGAGAGGUUGAACAGCCACAUUGGGACUGAGACACGGCCCAAACUCCUACGGGAGGCAGCAGUAAGGAAUUUUUGGCAAUGGAGGAAACUCUGACCGAGCGACGCCGCGUGAACAAUGAAGUACUUCGGUAUGUAAAGUUCUUUUAUUGAAAAAGAAAAAAUAGUGGAAAAACUAUCUUGACAUUAUUCAAUGAAUAAGCCCCGGCUAAUUAUGUGCCAGCAGCCGCGGUAAUACAUAAGGGGCGAGCGUUAUCCGGAAUUAUUGGGCGUAAAGGGUGCGUAGGCGGUUUGAUAAGUCUAUAGUUUAAUUGCAGUGCUUAACGCUGUACCGCUAUAGAAACUGUCUGACUAGAGUUAGAUAGAGGCAAGCGGAAUUCCAUGUGUAGCGGUAAAAUGCGUAAAUAUAUGGAGGAACACCAGAGGCGUAGGCGGCUUGCUGGGUCUUAACUGACGCUGAGGCACGAAAGCGUGGGGAGCAAACAGGAUUAGAUACCCUGGUAGUCCACGCCGUAAACGAUGAGUACUAAGUGUCGGGUUUUGGCUCGGUACUGAAGUUAACACAUUAAGUACUCCGCCUGAGUAGUACGUACGCAAGUAUGAAACUUAAAGGAAUUGACGGGACCCCGCACAAGCGGUGGAUCAUGUUGUUUAAUUCGAAGAUACACGAAAAACCUUACCAGGUCUUGACAUAAUUUUGCGACAUUAUAGAAAUAUAAUGAAGGUUAUCAGAAUUACAGGUGGUGCAUGGUUGUCGUCAGCUCGUGUCGUGAGAUGUUAGGUUAAGUCCUAAAACGAGCGCAACCCUUGUCGUUAGUUGCGACCACAUAAUGGUGAGCACUUUAGCGAGACUGCCAAUGAAAAAUUGGAGGAAGGUGAGGAUUACGUCAAAUCAUCAUGCCCCUUAUGAUCUGGGCUACAAACGUGAUACAAUGGCUUUUACAAAGAGUAGCUACAACGUGAGUUUUUAGCCAAUCUCAAAAAAACAGUCUCAGUUCGGAUUGAAGUCUGCAACUCGACUUCAUGAAGUUGGAAUCGCUAGUAAUCGCGAAUCAGCAUGUCGCGGUGAAUACGUUCUCGGGGUUUGUACACACCGCCCGUCAAACCACGAAAGUUGAUAAUACCCAAAACCGGUC
rnacentral:rRNA from 1 species